UUGCCCAUGGGGGAAUCGAACCCACGACCUUCGCUUUAUUAGCAGGACGCUCUAACCAACUGAGCUAAUGGGCC
rnacentral:tRNA from 1 species